AUACGUAGGGAGCGAGCGUUGUCCGGAAUUACUGGGCGUAAAGGGCGCGUAGGCGGCGCUUCAAGUCGUCUGUCGAAUGGGAGGGCUUAACCCUUUUUCGCAGACGAAACUGGAGAGCUUGAGAAGCAGAGAGGCAAACAGAAUUCCUGGUGUAGCGGUGAAAUGCGUAGAUAUCAGGAAGAAUACCAGUGGCGAAGGCGGUUUGCUGGCUGCAUACUGACGCUGAAGCGCGAAAGCCAGGGGAGCGAACGGGAUUAGAUACCCCGGUAGUCCUGGCAGUAAACGAUGUAUGCUGGGUGUGAGACUAGCGAUAGUUUCGUGCCGAAGUUAACGCGAUAAGCAUACCGCCUGGGGAGUACGGUCGCAAGAUUGAAACUCAAAUGAAUUGGCGGGG
rnacentral:rRNA from 1 species